GUUCCCUUCAAGCACUUCACAUGGAGCAUUAUUUGUCUUGGAGAAAGCUUAAUUUGAUGCAUUGUGAAGUGCUUGGGGGAACUC
rnacentral:pre_miRNA from 1 species